ACAGGUCUGUGAUGCCCUUAGAUGUUCUGGGCCGCACGCGCGCUACACUGAAGGAAUCAGCGUGUGCUCCCCUGUCCGAAAGGUCCGGGUAACCCGCUGAACCUCCUUCGUGCUAGGAAUUGGGGCUUGCAAUUGUUCCCCAUGAACGAGGAAUUCCCAGUAAGCGCGAGUCAUAAGCUCGCGUUGAUUACGUCCCUGCCCUUUGUACACACCGCCCGUCGCUACUACCGAUUGAAUGAUUUAGUGAGGUCUUCGGACCGGCGAUAACCGG
rnacentral:rRNA from 1 species